GAGGUCGGAAGUCCAAGAUCAAGAUGCCAGAAUGGAUGGGUUCUGGUGACUGCCCUCUUCAGGGUCGCAGACUGCUGACUUCUCGUGUAUCCUCAUGUGGCAAAGACCUGAGAGAGGGGGAAAGCUCUCUUGUGGUUCUUAUAGAAGCACUAAUCCCAUUCACAAAGGCUCCUCCCUUAUGACCUCAUCUAGACCUAAUUACCUUCCAAAGGCCCUCCCUCCUAAUACCAUCUCAUGGGGAGGUAGGGUUUCAACAUAUGAAUUUUGGGGGAACACAAACAUUCAGUCUAUAGCAAACUCCACGUACAUUUUUUUACUAAUAAAAGUGAUUUAAGUGUAUUUUUUCUUUGCAACUCCAUGAAUAGCUUGGCCUAGAGACAACUGGGCUAAGAAUUCUCUCAUUCUGAUGCCUAGGAUAACAGCACCUUCAUCAACGUGAGAUGUCACUACCAUUUACAGCUUGACAAGCCCAGUAUCAGAGAGUGAGACCCUUUUUACUCUCCAAAAGAAGAGCACCACAUCUAUUUUGCUUACAUCCCAGCUCCCAGCAUGAUGCUGAGCGUGCAAGGGGACCUAAAUAAAUAUGUACUAAAGAGAUGACGCAACAGAAAGAAAACAACAACAUUGAAGACAUCCUGAAAUAGCAUUCAUUUGGCAGGUAGAGAUGCAGAUGGCCGGUGCUGACCAGGAGCAAAAGUUGGCAGAGCUUCCUUGACCUGAAUGCCUGAAUGACUUGAGCUGGGCUGCUGAUCUAACCACCGAAAGUGUUACCCGAGCAAGAAAUAAACUUCUACUUCGCUGAGCCGCUACGCGUUUGGUCUGUUUAUUACUGCAGCCCAGCCUGCCUGAACUGAUGCAGCAUCGGUCCCACCUCAGCACUGGUGAACUCUCAGCCUUCCUUCGGGAAGACUCACAGUCCACCGGUGAUAAUGUGACCCUUUAUAUCUGCCCCAAGAGAGAAGACCUGGUGUCAUUCUUAUUUUGACUGUUGAUGAGGCUUACUUUCUUUCUUAUUGUUUGGAUAAAAAGUCAGUAGAAAUAAAAGUUGUAAUAUUUCUUCCUGCAGCCUGGGAGAUGUUGCACCUCACUUAGCCAACUAUUGCUUUAAGAAACUUGACUCGAUGGGCUUCGCAUUUCAUUGGGUCAACUUCGUAAUUGCUACAAAAAUGACAAUGUAAGUAAGAGUUUGACAUCAUUAGGAACGCAUUCUUCCAUAAGAAGAGGAAAAGCGAUCUGAUUCUCAUUCUGUUGUCCUGGCAAUAGCAAUAAAGGCAGCACAAAAUGUGAGUUCCACUUAUUUUCCAUUGUUCAUGUGCCCUUCGAUGGGAUUUCCCGGCUGACCCUCUUUAUUUCAUGGAGUCAUCAGUUGUUAAUUUGCCGUGUACGACGGGUUUCAAUGUUGCUACCAUUUUAUUUCUUUUUUCCCUUUUUCUUUUUCUUUCUUUUUUUUUCUUUUGAGAGUGAUGGGAAAUAGAGCUACACUUGAAUUCCAAUCCCAUUUGGUGUGAGACUGAGCAACCUGAUCCAGCCCAGAUCUGACUGUCUUUCACUGGGGUUAGUUUUUGCUUGUGAGAGAACGUUGCUUUAGUUAGCACUAUCCGCUGCCCUCCCACCCGAGGAAUAAAUCACAAACGCAGAAGAAAGCUGCAAUCCAGUUGACACACUGCCACUAAAUAACU